GCUUGUGAAGUUUAUGACUUCUUAGUGGUGCGCAUGCAUUGGCAAAUUUCUUUAUGGUUAGAAAUAGUAGCAUCUUUUGCUUCCAUCAAUUGAAAUGUGCUCCUUCAAAAUAGAAUGAGUGGUAGAGAUAGGUGGAUAGAAAGUCAGUAUAUGUUGAAUCGAACCAUCACAUAGUAAAAUGAAACAUCUUAAAACUAUUGGAAUUAGUACUAAAGAGUGCGUUAGAACUAGACAAAAAAAUGUGUCAGAAUUGAACAACAACUAUGUGUUAGAACUGGCAUCAACAAUGCACUGCAAUAAAGAGUUAAGCGGCUGAAUUUGGACAUCUAGAAGGUUUGAGCUAAAACUUGAACCCCUUGUGAUUUGGGUGUCUAUUGAUAUGAACACUUGGUAAAAUGGUUGCCUAGACUUAACGUCUAUACCUCGUGUCUUGGUUUUGUCACUUAGGUUAUGUAUCUAAAACCUGCAAAACAGAAACUAGUAAAGAAAUAUAUUGAGUUGUGGAUCAUGCUUUUUUUACGACGUUUUUCGACUCUACUAUGAGUGCAAACAUUUCAUAUGAUACCAUGAUGCCCUCAAGAAAAAACAACCAAAACUCAGUCAAAACUACAACGAAAGCAAUUGGAAUACCAACAAUCUUUUGAUUGAAAAAAAAAAAAAGAACAAAGAGGGAGAAGAUGGAGAAGAUGGAGAUAACUUGUGA
rnacentral:lncRNA from 1 species